UUGAACGCUGGCGGCAGGCCUAACACAUGCAAGUCGAACGGUAACAGGAAGCAGCUUGCUGCUUUGCUGACGAGUGGCGGACGGGUGAGUAAUGUCUGGGAAACUGCCUGAUGGAGGGGGAUAACUACUGGAAACGGUAGCUAAUACCGCAUAACGUCGCAAGACCAAAGAGGGGGACCUUCGGGCCUCUUGCCAUCGGAUGUGCCCAGAUGGGAUUAGCUUGUUGGUGGGGUAACGGCUCACCAAGGCGACGAUCCCUAGCUGGUCUGAGAGGAUGACCAGCCACACUGGAACUGAGACACGGUCCAGACUCCUACGGGAGGCAGCAGUGGGGAAUAUUGCACAAUGGGCGCAAGCCUGAUGCAGCCAUGCCGCGUGUAUGAAGAAGGCCUUCGGGUUGUAAAGUACUUUCAGCGGGGAGGAAGGGAGUAAAGUUAAUACCUUUACUCAUUGACGUUACCCGCAGAAGAAGCACCGGCUAACUCCGUGCCAGCAGCCGCGGUAAUACGGAGGGUGCAAGCGUUAAUCGGAAUUACUGGGCGUAAAGCGCACGCAGGCGGUUUGUUAAGUCAGAUGUGAAAUCCCCGGGCUCAACCUGGGAACUGCAUCUGAUACUGGCAAGCUUGAGUCUCGUAGAGGGGGGUAGAAUUCCAGGUGUAGCGGUGAAAUGCGUAGAGAUCUGGAGGAAUACCGGUGGCGAAGGCGGCCCCCUGGACGAAGACUGACGCUCAGGUGCGAAAGCGUGGGGAGCAAACAGGAUUAGAUACCCUGGUAGUCCACGCCGUAAACGAUGUCGACUUGGAGGUUGUGCCCUUGAGGCGUGGCUUCCGGAGCUAACGCGUUAAGUCGACCGCCUGGGGAGUACGGCCGCAAGGUUAAAACUCAAAUGAAUUGACGGGGGCCCGCACAAGCGGUGGAGCAUGUGGUUUAAUUCGAUGCAACGCGAAGAACCUUACCUGGUCUUGACAUCCACAGAACUUUCCAGAGAUGGAUUGGUGCCUUCGGGAACUGUGAGACAGGUGCUGCAUGGCUGUCGUCAGCUCGUGUUGUGAAAUGUUGGGUUAAGUCCCGCAACGAGCGCAACCCUUAUCCUUUGUUGCCAGCGGUCCGGCCGGGAACUCAAAGGAGACUGCCAGUGAUAAACUGGAGGAAGGUGGGGAUGACGUCAAGUCAUCAUGGCCCUUACGACCAGGGCUACACACGUGCUACAAUGGCGCAUACAAAGAGAAGCGACCUCGCGAGAGCAAGCGGACCUCAUAAAGUGCGUCGUAGUCCGGAUUGGAGUCUGCAACUCGACUCCAUGAAGUCGGAAUCGCUAGUAAUCGUGGAUCAGAAUGCCACGGUGAAUACGUUCCCGGGCCUUGUACACACCGCCCGUCACACCAUGAGAGCCGGGGGGACCCGAAGUCGAUAGUCUAACCGCAAGGAGGACGUCGCCGAAGGUAAAACUGGUGAUUGGGGUG
rnacentral:rRNA from 1 species